rnacentral:rRNA from 1 species
UUUUUUUAGAUGUAUUCUUAGGGGUUAUGUGGUUAGGUGAGAGUGGCGAACGGGUGAGUAACACGUAGGUGAUCUACCGUAAAGUUGGGGAUAGCCUGUGGAAACACAGGGUAAUACCGAAUACGACCUGUUCCAUGCGUGGAGCAGGGGAAAGGGGCUACGGCCCCGCUUUUCGAUGAGCCUGCGGUCCAUUAGUUAGUUGGUAGUGUAAAGGACUACCAAGGCGACGAUGGAUAGGGGGUCUGAGAGGAUGGUCCCCCACACUGGGACUGAGACACGGCCCAGACUCCUACGGGAGGCAGCAGCUAAGAAUCUUCCGCAAUGGGGGAAACCCUGACGGAGCGACGCCGCGUGGACGAAGAAGGCCGGAAGGUUGUAAAGUCCUUUUUUCAGUGAAGAAUAACCACAGGAGGGAAUGCCUGUGAGAUGACGUUAGCUGAGGAAUAAGCCCCGGCUAAUUACGUGCCAGCAGCCGCGGUAACACGUAAGGGGCGAGCGUUGUUCGGAAUUAUUGGGCGUAAAGGGCGCGUAAGCGG